GUCGAGAAUAAUUCACAAUGGACGAAAGUCUGAUGGUGCAACGCCGCGUGGAGGAUGACGGUCUUCGGAUUGUAAACUCCUGUCAUCCGGGAGUAAGACCUGGCUGUGAAUAGCAGACAGGGUUGAUAGUACCGGAAGAGGAAGGGACGGCUAACUUCGUGCCAGCAGCCGAGGUAAUACGAAGGUCCCGAGCGUUGUUCGGAAUCACUGUGCGUAAAGGGAGCGUAGGCGGGGUGGUAAGUCAGAAGUGAAAUCCCGGGGCUCAACCCCGGAACUGCAUCCGAUACUGCCGUGCUAGAGGAUUGGAGAGGUAGCUGGAAUUCUUGGUGUAGCAGUGAAAUGCGUGGAGAUCAAGAGGAACACUCGUGGCGAAAGCGAGCUACUGGACAAUAUCUGACGCUGAGGCUCGAAGGCCAGGGUAGCGAAAGGGAUUAGAAACCCCUGUAGUCC
rnacentral:rRNA from 1 species